rnacentral:rRNA from 1 species
GACGAACGCUGGCGGCGUGCUUAACACAUGCAAGUCGAACGGAAAGGCCCUGCUUUUGUGGGGUGCUCGAGUGGCGAACGGGUGAGUAACACGUGAGUAACCUGCCCUUGACUUUGGGAUAACUUCAGGAAACUGGGGCUAAUACCGGAUAGGAGCUCCUGCUGCAUGGUGGGGGUUGGAAAGUUUCGGCGGUUGGGGAUGGACUCGCGGCUUAUCAGCUUGUUGGUGGGGUAGUGGCUUACCAAGGCUUUGACGGGUAGCCGGCCUGGGAGGGUGACCGGCCACCUUGGGCCUAAGAUACGCCCCAGCCUGCUACGGGAGGCAGCAGUGGGGAAUAUGGCACACUGGGCCGACGUCUGAUACAGACACCCUGCGUGCGGAAUGACGGCCUUCGGGUUGUAAACAGCUUUCGACUGUGACGAAGCGUGAGUGACGGUACUGGGUAAAGAAGCACCGGCUAACUACGUG